rnacentral:ncRNA from 1 species
AUGAUUGUAUGGGGAGAGCACGCAAUGGCGUCGCCGAAGGAGCAAGUAACUUAUUGUUAUGAAUCUCUCAGGUAACAAGACUCAUACAUGACG